CUUAUGGGAAAAGAUUUAUCGGCAAAGGAUGACCCCGCCCCGGAUUAACUAGUUGGUAGGGUAAUGGCCUACCAAGGCGACGAUCCAUAGCUGGUCUGAGAGGAUGAUCAGCCACACUGGGACUGAGACACGGCCCAGACUCCUACGGGAGGCAGCAGUGGGGAAUAUUGGACAAUGGGCGCAAGCCUGAUCCAGCCAUGCCGCGUGAGUGAUGAAGGCCCUAGGGUUGUAAAGCUCUUUCACCGGUGAAGAUAAUGACGGUAACCGGAGAAAAAGCCCCGGCUAACUUCGUGCCAGCAGCCGCGGUAAUACNAAGGGGGCUAGCGUUGUUCAGAUUUACUGGGCGUAAAGCGCACGUANGCGGACUUUUAAGUCACGGGUGAAAUCCCGGGGCUCAACCCCGGAACUGCCUUUGAUACUGGAAGUCUUGAGUAUGGUACAGGUGAGUGGGAAUUCCGAGUGGAGAGGUGAAAUUCUAGAUAUUCGGAGGAACACCAGUGGUCGAAGGCGGAUCACUGGAGCAUUUACUGACGCUGAGGUGCGAAAGCGUUGGGGAGCUAAACAGGAUUAGAUACCCCUGGUGAGUUCCCCCCCGUAAACCGAUGAAUGCUAGUCCAGUCNGGGGAGGUUUACUCUUUCGGUGGCGCAGCAUAACGCAUUAAACAUACCCGCCUGGGGAGAGUACCGCCGCCAGCAUAAGAUUCCCAGGAAUUGAUCCGGGGGCGCGCCCAACCGGUGAGCAUGUUGCUUUAAUUGUAGCUAAGCCCCGAACCAUAACCAGCCCUAGCCCUACCUUUCCCGUACCAGAGAGGGUGAUUUCNUUUGCUGGAGCGUAAUCUCGGUGCUGCAUGGCU
rnacentral:rRNA from 1 species